UACGAAGGGGGCUAGCGUUGUUCGGAAUUACUGGGCGUAAAGCGCACGUAGGCGGAUCAUUUAGUCAGGGGUGAAAUCCCGGGGCUCAACCUCGGAACUGCCUUUGAUACUGAUGGUCUCGAGUCCGGAAGAGGUGAGUGGAAUUCCUAGUGUAGAGGUGAAAUUCGUAGAUAUUAGGAAGAACACCGGUGGCGAAGGCGGCCCACUGGAUCGGUACUGACGCUGAGGUGCGAAAGCGUGGGGAGCAAACAGG
rnacentral:rRNA from 1 species